GUGACCUCAAAUCAGGUAGGAUUACCCGCUGAACUUAAGCAUAUCAAUAAGCGGAGGAAAAGAAACUAACAAGGAUUCCCCUAGUAACUGCGAGUGAAGCGGGAAAAGCUCAAAUUUAAAAUCUGGCAGUCUUUGGCUGUCCGAGUUGUAAUCUAGAGAAGUGCUAUCCGCGCUGGACCGUGUACAAGUCUCCUGGAAUGGAGCGUCAUAGAGGGUGAGAAUCCCGUCUUUGACACGGACUGCCAGGGCUUUGUGAUGCGCUCUCAAAGAGUCGAGUUGUUUGGGAAUGCAGCUCAAAAUGGGUGGUAAAUUCCAUCUAAAGCUAAAUAUUGGCGAGAGACCGAUAGCGAACAAGUACCGUGAGGGAAAGAUGAAAAGAACUUUGGAAAGAGAGUUAAACAGUACGUGAAAUUGCUGAAAGGGAAACGCUUGAAGUCAGUCGCGUCGUCCAGGGAUCAACCUCGCUGUUGCUUGGUGCACUUUCUGGUUGACGGGUCAGCAUCAAUUUUGACCAUUGGAAAAAGAUUAGGGGAAUGUGGCAUCUUAGGAUGUGUUAUAGCCCUUGGUUGCAUGCAAUGGUUGGGAUUGAGGAACUCAGCACGCCGCAAGGCCGGGUUUUCAACCACGUACGUGCUUAGGAUGCUGGCAUAAUGGCUUUAA
rnacentral:rRNA from 1 species